UCAAAGAUUAAGCCAUGCAUGUCUAAGUAUAAGCAAUUAUACAGCGAAACUGCGAAUGGCUCAUUAUAUAAGUUAUCGUUUAUUUGAUAGUACCUUACUACUUGGAUAACCGUGGUAAUUCUAGAGCUAAUACAUGCUGAAAAUCCCGACUUCGGAAGGGAUGUAUUUAUUAGAUUAAAAACCAAUGCCCUCUGGGCUCCUUGGUGAUUCAUAAUAACUUUUCGAAUCGCACGGCCUUGCGCCGGCGAUGGUUCAUUCAAAUUUCUUCCCUAUCAACUUUCGAUGUUUGGGUAUUGGCCAAACAUGGUCGCAACGGGUAACGGAGGGUUAGGGCUCGACCCCGGAGAAGGAGCCUGAGAAACGGCUACUACAUCCAAGGAAGGCAGCAGGCGCGCAAAUCACCCAAUCCCGANNVGGGGAGGUAGUGACAAUAAAUACUGAUACAGGGCUCUUUUGGGUCUUGUAAUUGGAAUGAGUACAAUUUAAAUCCCUUAACGAGGAACAAUUGGA
rnacentral:rRNA from 1 species